UACGUAGGGGGCUAGCGUUGUCCGGAAUCAUUGGGCGUAAAGAGCGUGUAGGCGGCCCGGUAAGUCCGCUGUGAAAGUCGGGGGCUCAACCCUCGGAUGCCGGUGGAUACUGUCGGGCUCGAGUACGGAAGAGGCGAGUGGAAUUCCUGGUGUAGCGGUGAAAUGCGCAGAUAUCAGGAGGAACACCUAUUGCGAAGGCAGCUCGCUGGGACGUUACUGACGCUGGAGGAGCGAAAGCUAGGGGAGCGAACAGG
rnacentral:rRNA from 1 species